rnacentral:rRNA from 1 species
UUUUUUCCGGGUAGUAUAAUUUCGAUUUGAAAUUUAAUUGAUCUGGCGGUUUUUAAAUCUUUUUAGAGGAAUCUGAAAUUUAAAUGAUAGUCCACGAUUUAUUUUACCUUGAUUUUCUUGUAUAUCUCUGUCGUUGAAUAUAGUGAAGACUUAUUUUCUUUUUUUUUAUUUAAAUUAUGUUAGGUCAAGGKGCAGUUAUAUUUAGGUUAUUUUGGGUUACUAAAAUUUUUGUUUGUGAACUUUUUUUUUUGUUAAAAAUGAAUUUGGAUUUAAAAGUAAUUAUUUUUUUUUAAUUUA